GACGAACGCUGGCGGCGUGCCUAAUACAUGCAAGUAGAACGCUGAAGGAGGAGCUUGCUCUUCUGGAUGAGUUGCGAACGGGUGAGUAACGCGUAGGUAACCUGCCUGGUAGCGGGGGAUAACUAUUGGAAACGAUAGCUAAUACCGCAUAACAGUAGAUGUUGCAUGACAUUUACUUAAAAGGUGCAAUUGCAUCACUACCAGAUGGACCUGCGUUGUAUUAGCUAGUUGGUGGGGUAACGGCUCACCAAGGCGACGAUACAUAGCCGACCUGAGAGGGUGAUCGGCCACACUGGGACUGAGACACGGCCCAGACUCCUACGGGAGGCAGCAGUAGGGAAUCUUCGGCAAUAGACGGAAGUCUGACCGAGCAACGCCGCGUGAGUGAAGAAGGUUGUCGGAUCGUAAAGCUCUGUUGUAAGAGAAGAACGAGUGUGAGAGUGGAAAGUUCACACUGUGACGGUAUCUUACCAGAAAGGGACGGCUAACUACGUG
rnacentral:rRNA from 1 species